GGCCCCAUCGUCUAGUGGUUAGGACAUAGCCCUUUCACGGCUGUAACAGGGGUUCAAAUCCCCUUGGGGUCA
rnacentral:tRNA from 3 species